UAUGCAUGGGGCACUUCCUUGCCA
rnacentral:siRNA from 1 species